AAAGAAUGAUCUUGGCACUCGAAUUUGAGGAAUUACCAUUUGCAGCCAGCUGUGGUGAUAUGUUAGAUUAGUUUUUGUUUAAUGUCUAUGCUUUCCUUUUGCAUUUUGCCUGAGGUAGACGGUGGGAAAAAAAAAACCCAGGGGAUUCUGGAUUGACCUUGUGAGCGAUUUGAUGAAUUCGAAUUUUCUGAGCAUCAAUAGAAUGCAUUAUUUACAUGCCUUAGGAUGGAUGAGAUUUGUUUUUAAGAAAAUUCUAAAUGCUUUGUUAGGAUGUUCA
rnacentral:misc_RNA from 1 species